CUCUCUCUCUCUCUCUCUCUCUCUCUCUUGAUGCCGACGUCCUUUCGGCGUUAUCUGUGGUAGACUGGCAGGGCUCCAACAUCGUUUUCAGAUCUGUGGCUAGGCUCCUCUAAAUCUUUAUCCGCUUCGCACUCUCUCUAUUAGAGUUGGAUCUAGAGAUACUUCGCAUUGUUUUCAGAUCUGUGUUACCUCAAACCCUAGUCGCCUUGCAGCAACUUCUGGAAUAGUGAAACCUUGGAACUCGCCUUCUGCUAAAAUGGAUUUUGGCAAGAAUUUCAAUACAAGAAGGUGGACUUUGGCAAUGGUGUACCUGUGAAAACUUCAGUGGAACCUAAAGUAUCUGAGGAAGGGCUUCUUGAUGCUAUUCAGUAGGAUUACUUCCCAUCUGCCUCCAUAGAGAGUUUUGAAUUACCUCUUUCAGAAUAAAAAAGGGUUGGGUCUGAAGGAAAGCGACUAGUCAUCAUUGAUGAUUAUAUAGGCUGCAGUAAGGAGGUAUAGGAAUUGCUACUAUGAUAAUUGGCAGACCUCAUGAAAAGGAGCUUAUCCGUUAUCUCCAAUUUGGACUAUGGUGGCUGGCUCUUGGUGUAGCAUCAUCAAUUGGUCUUGGUAAUUGCUCCUCUUAUGCAGCAUGCCCCGACCAAGUUUGGGAGGUUAGAUUAUGUUAAAAGGUCUACUCGGCUGGACAGGUACCAUUGCCCAGAUCGUGAGAAUCGAACCCCGCUGAGAUUUUAGCUGAUCUUAUAUCUGUUGACUACAGCUUUGCUGAAAGUGUCUACUCCUCUCAGAAAAGAAAGAUGCUCUUGUUGAAUCAUUUUCACAACAAUCAUCACUAGUUCUGUAUGCAACUCCGAUUACAUUAAGGGAAAUCUCCAAGAACAGCACCGGGUUGAGCAGGAAGAGUAGAGUUUAGAAGAAGGGAGGUUGGUGGAGGCAAUUCUGGUUGCUCCUAAGGCUUGCGUGGAUGCAGCCUAAGCAGAGUGGCUUCCUUAUACAGGUUUUGCAUUUCCUUUUUUUCUUUUCAUAUGGCAAACAAAGGGAAAUGAAAGGUAAAUCAUAUGUCCUGCUUUUUAUAAAUGAAACUGUGAAUUGAUUAGACCACAGUGCAGUACUAAACCAACUUGAACUGAUCGGGCACUAUAGCCUUGAACGGAUCGAUUGUCAUUUUCAGGAGGAUAUGGGGCAGAUGCAGACAACGAUUCAACUACCUUUUGUAACUUUCAGUAUGCUAAAGAACAGCUUGAGUAAUUCAUAGUUUGUUCGAUUCAACAUAGUAUAAAUAUGUUAUGUGAUUUGGUGUAGUUUAUGUAUACCAGACUAGAAUGUUUAUGAGUGGCAUUUUGUAUGUUUAUGACAUUUUGUAUUGCACCAUUUCAUUAGUUUUAUUGUAAGUUUACAAUGUUAAUAUAUCUUAAUAACUUUUGCAUGUUCUUAA